AGAGUUUGAUCCUGGCUCAGGACGAACGCUGGCGGCGUGCUUAACACAUGCAAGUCGAACGAGAUCCAUUGUGGUAACACCAGAGAAGAUCUAGUGGCGAACGGGUGGAGUAACAACGUGAGCAACCUACCCCGAACGAUUGGGAUAACACCGGAAACCGAUGCUAAUACCGAAUACCCCACCGGGUCACAUGGCCUGAUGAGGAAAUGGGUUUCUGCUUCGGGAGAGGCUCGCGGCCUAUCAGCUUGUUGGCAGGGUAAUGGCCUACCAAGGCAACGACGGGUAGCUGGUCUGAGAAGACGACCAGCCACACUGGGACUGAGACACGGCCCAGACUCCUACGGGA
rnacentral:rRNA from 1 species